GGGGCAGCAUGGUGUAGCAAUACACUGAUGGCGACCGGCAAACGGGUGCGGAACACGUACAGAACCUUCCUUCAAGCGGGGAAUAGCCCAGAGAAAUUUGGAUUAAUACCCCAUAGCAUAAUGGAGUGGCAUCACUUUGUUAUUAAAGAUUUAUCACUUGAAGAUGGCUGUGCGGCUGAUUAGGUAGUUGGCGGGGUAACGGCCCACCAAGCCUGCGAUCAGUAACUGGUGUGGGAGCACGACCAGUCACACGGGCACUGAGACACGGGCCCGACUCCUACGGGAGGCAGCAGUAAGGAAUAUUGGUCAAUGGACGAAAGUCUGAACCAGCCAUGCCGCGUGGAGGAUGAAGGUCCUCUGGAUUGUAAACUUCUUUUAUCUGGGACGAAAAAAGGUCUUUCUAGAUCGUCUGACGGUACCAGAUGAAUAAGCACCGGCUAACUCCGUGCCAGCAGCCGCGGUAAUACGGAGGGUGCAAGCGUUAUCCGGAUUCACUGGGUUUAAAGGGUGCGUAGGUGGGUUGGUAAGUCAGUGGUGAAAUCUUCGAGCUUAACUCGGAAACUGCCAUUGAUACUAUCAGUCUUGAAUAUUGUGGAGGUUAGCGGAAUAUGUCAUGUAGCGGUGAAAUGCUUAGAUAUGACAUAGAACACCAAUUGCGAAGGCAGCUGGCUACACAUAUAUUGACACUGAGGCACGAAAGCGUGGGGAUCAAACAGGAUUAGAUACCCUGGUAGUCCACGCCCUAAACUAUGGAUACUCGACAUACGCGAUACACUGUGUGUGUCUGAGCGAAAGCAUUAAGUAUCCCACCUGGGAAGUACGAUCGCA
rnacentral:rRNA from 1 species